GAUAGAAAACCAAAAAAAAAAAAAAAAAAGAAAAAAAAGUGAUUUUUUUUUUUUUUUUUUUUUUUGUUGUUAUAAUAAUAUGAAUUAUUUUAUAUAAUGUAGUUUAGUCAUUUACAAAUAC
rnacentral:ribozyme from 17 species